rnacentral:lncRNA from 1 species
GGUGGGACAGGACUCCGAGGUCCUCCUGGGCUCGACGGUCCCGAGGGAGAGAAGGGAGAUCCAGGACCACGAGGCAUGGAUGGACCUGCUGGUGCUGCAGGAUUAGAGGGACUCGCUGGAGAUGAUGGAGUGAAGGGAGAUGGUGGCAAACCCGGUCCAGUGGGCUCAGCAGGGGCUCAGGGGCUGGCAGGUGCCCCCGGGCUCCGGGGAUACACCGGGCACGAAGGAGCCAGAGGAGUGACGGGCACCAAGGGAAAGCCAGGCCGGCAGGGCCUGGUGGGUGCAAAAGGGGAGCCAGGCAAGCCAGGGAAACCAGGACAAAUGGGCUCUCCGGGACAAGCUGGUCCUAAAGGAUGGAAAGGUCGCAAAGGAGAAA